AUUGAACGCUGGCGGCAUGCUUUACACAUGCAAGUCGAACGGCAGCGCGGGCUUCGGCCUGGCGGCGAGUGGCGAACGGGUGAGUAAUGCAUCGGAACGUGCCCAGUAGUGGGGGAUAGCCCGGCGAAAGCCGGAUUAAUACCGCAUACGACCUGAGGGUGAAAGCGGGGGACCGAAAGGCCUCGCGCUAUUGGAGCGGCCGAUGUCGGAUUAGCUAGUUGGUGGGGUAAAGGCUUACCAAGGCGACGAUCCGUAGCUGGUCUGAGAGGACGACCAGCCACACUGGGACGGAGACACGGCCAAGACUCCUACGGGAGGCAGCAGGGGGGAAUUUGGGACAAGGGGGGAAAGCCUGACCCAGCCACGCCGCGGGAGGGAAGAAGGCCUUCGGUUGGUAAACCGCUUUUAUUGGGGAAGAAAUCCUCUGGGAUAACCCCCGGGGGGGAUGACGGUACCGAAAAAAAAAGCCCCGGCUAACUACGUG
rnacentral:rRNA from 1 species